rnacentral:lncRNA from 1 species
GGCAAGGACAAGCAGGAAGUGGUUCCUUUCCCCUUCACUCCUUCCUCCUGCUCUCUGUUCUGAGCCACCAUGUGAUCCUGGGAUGAGGACACCAACGGAAGGCAUCCGAUAAGAGAUCUAUCAAGCAUUCUCAGGUCGUUGGCUGCCACAGAGGAGGGCAAAGUGAUUUUCCAGAAAUGAAGUAGAGGUGACAUGGCUGAUGCGGAUGCUUGAUUGGAAGUCUGUCAGUACGUUGUGUGGAAGUCAGUCUGUGACUUGCACCGCCUAUGUAAACUGGUGACUUGGGAAAAGCACCCUGUUUACUCAGUUUCCACAAAGUAAAGGAAAUGAUAAUGUCGUGAUCUCUACUAAUUGCUGGGUGAUUCUUAUAGAGAUAACAGGUCAGAACUAGAGACCCAGACAUGACUGAAUAAAGUCAUUGUCACUUUGAGUCCUU